rnacentral:rRNA from 1 species
UAACGCGUGAGGAACCUGCCUCAAAGAGGGGGACAACAGUUGGAAACGACUGCUAAUACCGCAUAAGCCCACAGCUCGGCAUCGAGCAGAGGGAAAGGGAGUGAUCCGCUUUGAGAUGGCCUCGCGUCCGAUUAGCUAGUUGGUGAGGUAAUGGCCCACCAAGGCGACGAUCGGUAGCCGGACUGAGAGGUUGAACGGCCACAUUGGGACUGAGACACGGCCCAG